CUUCCCCCUCCUCCUCCUAUCGAUUUCUUCUCGAUGUCUCCUCUCUGAACUUCUGGUGAUUUUGGUUCGAGUUUGAGAAGAUGAUUUCGAGUUCGAGAACGCAAAGAAAGGAUGGGGUUUACCUGAAUUUGAUGUUGCAGCAGUUUAGUGUGAUGAACGGAGAGUGUUUUGGUCUGUGUCAGGGUUUGAAAUUGAAUUAAAAUCGAGAGAAAAAGGGGAAGCGCUGUUAAUGGAGAAAACGAGAGCAUUCAGAGAUAGAUAAAUCGAGAAGAUGAAGAGGAUAGAUCUGUUACAGAUGGAGAAUGGGUUUGUGGUUGAAUCACUUGAUUUGGAAGAAAAAACCAGAGAAGAAAUUGAUGGUGAUGUCCUCAGUUGAUGAAGAAGAUGAAGAGGUUUAAAUGAAUGUUAGGACGGGGGUUAAUGGGUUCUCGAAUUCAGUGAUGCUGGUUCGACGAUGUUUGCUUGGAUAGCGUUUUCAUGUCCGAAUUUCAAUCGAUGGAGUUUGAUGUAACGGAUAAGAGUCAUUGAACAAGCAACCCUAAUCUCUAUUCCUCCUCCUGUACCUCGUCGGAAGAACAUUACGGAAACAACGUUCUCUUUAAGGAAGAUGCCUUUGGUAUAUUUUCGCUGAGUGUUUAUGGAAACUGUAUUUUGUUGCAGUUGAAGACUUGGGUUUGUGAUGAAAGCAAGUUCAACAAUGGUAAUUGUUAACUUGGGAUUUGUUAUGGUCCAAGAAUGGUAGUACGGAUUACUAAGCCGAUUAAGAAAGUGAAGAGGUUUGCAUCACGUAUACUGAUUUGUUGCAACCGACGCUGCUCCAAAACUACAGUAAUGGAUGUAUGGUUGUGGAUUUGAGAUGAGCAAUUGGUGUUGUGCUUGAGUUGCUGAGAGAUUGUGAGAUUACUGGAAUUACAAGAGAAGCUACAGAAUGGGUAAGUGGUGCUGCUUCAAGGAAUUGAGGUGCAGAGAAGAAUGUAUGGAAUUGAAGCUCAAACUGAGAUAGAACUGGUGAUUGUACUUGUGAUUGGUAAAGAUGGUAGUGCUGUAAUUACAGAAACAGAAGGUUAUAGUCUUGCUCUUAUGUUUGAUCUGGUGCAGCAGUCUACGUUUGACUCUAGGGGCUACAAUUGGCUUCAGGGACUGUAUAGAAGAGAGGAUAUGUUGUAUGGGUUGGAACAAGUGGUAGUGAAGAUUGAGGUGCUGGCAGCUGAGUAUAGGGAUAGAACAUGAGGCAGUGAAUGGAAGAAUGAAAUUUGAUGUGCAGUGAUUUGAUGGAGAUUGAAGAGAUGGCGAGGUUUAGGAGAUGCUGAUGCUGUUUAGUAGAUGGGUUUGUCUUCAAUCUCAAUACUGAUGCAGUGGAUUUGAAAAUUUCAGUUAGAUAAUUGAAGAUGGAGUUGUUGCUGUGUGAGAUAGAGAUGAACAUGGAGUUUUGGGUUCAAGUUUAGAACUGGAUUCGAAGUCAAGGAUGAGAAGGAAAUGCGGGGAGACUAUGUAAUUGGAACGGUGAACUGAAAAUGCAGAGGAGAUUGAUUAUUUGCAGUAUGCAGUUGGUGGUUGUGAUUAGGGGUUGGUGUGUUAAGGUGUAGCUGAACUGAAGUGCAAGUGUUGGUUGUGGCUUUGAUGUGGUGGACAAGAUGGUAUGAAAUUGUAGGUAGGUGGAUUCGUGAACUGGGAUUGUGGAAUUCCAGGUGGUGCUUAAAUCUGGUAAUGGCCUGGUACUGUGCGGGGUUGGGCAGUUUUAAAUGGAGAGAAAAUGGUGUUUGCUGCUGCAGGAAUGGUUGGCGGUGCAGAACAAGGGGUUGUUAUUUGGGUUGAUGAUGAGCUGGAGAUGCUCUUGGAAGGUGGUACUGACAUUGCAGGUGAUGGUUGUGCGUAAAGAAAUGCAGCUGGUAAUGCUAUGUGAGACACAGAGACAAGUCUUGGUGGGUGUUGGUUCUGUGCUUGAGAUGCUGCAGAGCACUCUUAUCCUGCAUUAAUGACGUCAAGUUCUUCGGUCGGCCCUCCCACCGUGGAAACGGUUGUACUAGUUAUAUUAAGAUGUCUACACGGAAAAAUGCGCUCGAUCACAACUCCUUGAAGGCAUUUUUCUCGUCUUGUGUGAUCUUAAUUCGGGUAAACAUUUUUGACCUCUCCACUCUUAUUAUGGGCAUUUUCCUGUGCGACGUAUUCUCAGUUCAAUUUGAAGCAACAAAAAGAACGAUCAAAAGAAAAUACGAUGAACACAUUGAGGAAGGAGUUACUCCCUCAGUUACUUUUUAAUAGGCUUGCCGCUGGUUUGGUUUUUAGAGAAAAUUAAGGAAAUUAAGUGAAGUAAUCAUUGAAAGUGGUCCUCAUGACACUUAUCAAUAAAAGAAGUGAAGUGAAGUGGUCUCCCAUGACACUUGUCAAUAAAAGAAGUGAAGUGAAGUGGUUCUCAUCACACUUGUCAUCAAAAGAAGUGAAGUGCAAGUGGUCCUAAAAGAUUAAAGUAACAUUUGACUUUCCCAAUUGAGAAACUGACUUAUUUUUUUGAAAUUUUUAUAAUUUUUAUUUAUAGAAACUGACAUAUUGAAAA